rnacentral:misc_RNA from 1 species
GCACAAGAACAAACCGUCUUGUCCAACAACUUUUUACAGAGACAUCAGCUCCACUAACUUCUGCAGUGCACCCUUUCAGGCCUUUGCACAGUUGCCCUAUUCCUCUCUUUCUCCUCUCACCAAAACCCUAAUCUCCUAUAAAGAAUUGAAGUUCUUGCUUUUCAUUGGAAUUGGAAAUUGAUACGAUAAAAGGAAAAUUAAAAGAAAAAAUAAAGAAAGAAA